rnacentral:rRNA from 1 species
AGCAGCCGCGGUAAUUCCAGCUCCAAUAGCGUAUAUUAAAGUUGUUGCAGUUAAAAAGCUCGUAGUUGAAUUUCGGAAUCUGUCCGUUGGUCGGGCUUAACUGUCCGUACUGAUGUGAUGGGUUCUUACCUUCUGAAUAACCAGCAUGUCAUUAAUUUGGUGUGUUGGGGAAGCAGGACUAUUACCUUGAAAAAAUUAGGGUGCUCAAAGCAGGCUAGUGCCUGAAUACAUUAGCAUGGAAUAAUAAAAUAGGACGGCAUGGUUCUAUUUUGUUGGUUUCUAGGAUCACCGUAAUGAUUAAUAGGGAUAGUUGGGGGCAUUAGUAUUCAAUUGUCAGAGGUGAAAUUCUUGGAUUUAUUGAAGACUAACUUCUGCGAAAGCAUUUGCCAAGGAUGUUUUCAUUAAUCAAGAACGAAAGUUAGGGGAUCGAAGACGAUCAGAUACCGUCGUAGUCUUAACCAUAAACUAUGCCGACUAGGGAUCGGACGAUGUUAAUUUAUAAUGACUCGUUCGGCGUACC